UCAAGUUACCUUCGGGUAAUGAGGAUGGCGGACGGGUGAGUAACGCGUAAGGAACUUGCCUCUUGGACUGGGACAACUGUUGGAAACGACAGCUAAUACCGGAUAUUAUGAGAUUCUCGCAUGAGAAACUUAUGAAAGCUAUAUGCGCCAAGAGAGAGCCUUGCGUUCCAUUAGCUAGUUGGUGGGGUAACGGCCCACCAAGGCGACGAUGGAUAGCCGGCCUGAGAGGGUGAGCGGCCACAAGGGGACUGAGACACGGCCCUUACUCCUACGGGAGGCAGCAGUGGGGAAUAUUGGACAAUGGGCCACAAGCCUGAUCCAGCAAUUCUGUGUGCACGAUGAAGGUCUUCGGAUUGUAAAGUGCUUUCAGUUGGGAAGAAGAAAGUGACGGUACCAACAGAAGAAGCGACGGCUAAAUACGUGCCAGCAGCCGCGGUAAUACGUAUGUCGCAAGCGUUAUCCGGAUUUAUUGGGCGUAAAGCGCGUCUAGGCGGAAAAAUAAGUCUGAUGUUAAAAUGCGGGGCUCAACUCCGUAUUGCGUUGGAAACUGUUUUUCUAGAGUACUGGAGAGGUGGGC
rnacentral:rRNA from 1 species